GUAAUGACGUGUAUCACGGAUUUGUGAAAGCUGAAAGUCAGAAGCCAGCAGAAAAGCAGCAGGUGCCAGACGUGUAUUCAAAGGUCAACAAGGUGAAGAAAAGCAACAAUGCAACAGAAGUACAGAUCACUCUGAGUAUUGAAGACCUGUAUGCGAAGCCCAUCAAACCAGCAAACGGAAGGAGUGAAUCGUCAUCCUAAGUGUCAUCCUACCAGAACGUGGACGUCAGCACCCCAGACUGACCGACAGACGUCAUCAGAAGCAGUGGUCGUUGUGGACUUCCAAUCCAGUGAUGCUGAAAGGGACUCUUCCUCAUGAUACGCUGUCAUUACACCAACACCAAAGAGAAAUAUACACACAAUCAUACAGCUUAAUGCACCAUUAAGUAUUGUCACCAUAACCCAAGUUAUUCAAGCUUUAUGACGGUUUCCUGUGAGGAAAUCCAGUGACGUAUUGAGAUCAACGAUUUGCCCCUUCGGGAUACGAUGACGUUCAAAUUGGGAGGCUCACACGACCCACGAUACUUGGGAUGUAUUUCAACUCGAUAUCCCAACAGGAAUGUGUUUGUUGAGUACAAUCUGAUACAGUUUCCUAACAUUUUAUUAUGAUUUUGUUAUUACUCACUGUUUUACUUUGCAUCAUUGUUGUGAAUGCUGUAUAUCCCCAUAGAAUGACUUUCGCCAUUUUCUCCCCAAAAUGCACAGUGAGAAAUGACCGUCUCAAACUCACAAUAAGCGGAGAAUAGAAUAGACUAACUUAAAACAUACCCUAAUUCAUGAAAUACUAUUAGAUACGUCGAUGAACAGAAAUGAACCAAGCAUUGUUGAGUAUGAAAGGAAAAACAUGAUUUUGGAACAGAGGUUAGGGGAGUGAAUAGAUGUAAAUAAGGUACUUUCGUGUCUCUAUUACACUUACGACAUUUUUAGUAUUAAAAUCAUUAUGUAGUAAAACUAUAUGUAAGCCUGUAAAUGGCUCUUCUGUGCCUGUUAUGGUUUCAAGAAAUCCGCUGACUUUGUGUGAAGGGUACCAAUUCACGUACAUUUUUUUUAGAGUCAUCAUUAGAUGUUUGCCAAGGUUGCAUUCUGAAUCCCUUGUUAUAUACUUUCGUUAUUGAUGAAUUGGUUAAACUGUGAUCAGUGAAUAUUUGUCAUUGAGCACAUCAAUAUACUGCUAAAUUUGUUUGCUGAUGAUUUACA